AACCAGGUGGCUCAGUGGUAGAGUGCUUGCCUUGCAUGCAUGAGACCCUGGUUC
rnacentral:tRNA from 1 species